rnacentral:misc_RNA from 1 species
UGAUUACGUCAGCAAGCUAGAUUAGGCACCGGUGGAUGACGGAAGCAUGCUGUUCAUUGGAUCGGGUUUUGUUGCUCAGCGGAAGGGAAUAGUGGUUUUCAAUGAACCAUAAUAUAUUUGUUGCCGUGUUUUAAUUCAUUUAUUUAUAUCGGAUUCAUAGAAACCUUUUCUGGGAUUAUUAUAUAAUUUUUGACGAACUGAAGUAAUAGAAAACUUACUUGUAAGUUUUGUAUAUCUGAUAUAGGUUUGUUUUGAUUUUCAUAUUCUAUUCAUUACUCAUAAUAUUAAUGUUUUUUGUUUUUCCAAUUUUUGCUUUGCAAAAUUGUUAAGGAAUUCUUUUUACGGAUAUAUGAUUGUUUUCGAGUUUACAAAAAGAUUGUUUUAUAUUAUGAUGUACACAUGUUUUCAUUUUGGUGCAAUAAUAGAAUGUAUCCCCUUAACCAUCUUACUGUAUUCCAUGUAUGUAUGAGUUCGAGAAUGUUUGUUUCGUUUUACUUUUUUGCCUUGUUUUGUGAAUUACUCUUCAAGUUUGUCAAAUAUUUUUCGUAUAUUUGUAAAUGAAGAGUAUUUUGGGAUUUUUGCCUGCUUGAUGCCAAAUAUAUACAAUAAUUAACAUUUGAAUAGAUAAUUGAGAUGAAAAAAAAGUUUCUUAUAUCUUUAUUAAUUUACAAUUUUGAAGUUUAUUUUUGGAGUCGCGUCUUCAAUCAGUAAGUCUUUAUUUAUGCAAUCUCAUUACGCUUUAUAUACAUGUAAUUCCCUAAUUUGGUUUUCAUUUGUGUAAAUUUAUAAUUGAACAAUAUUCAUAUAUUUAUUUUAACCGUUUUUAAUGAUCAUCGAAGUAUUUAAAAAGGGAAUCACAAUAAAUGGAACAACUUUU